AGAGUUUGAUCCUGGCUCAGAAUCAACGCUGGCGGCGUGCCUAACACAUGCAAGUCGAGCGAGAAAGUGGAGCAAUCCAUGAGUAAAGCGGCGCACGGGUGAGUAACACGUGACUAACCUACCCUUGAGUGGGGAAUAACCUGGGGAAACCCGGGCUAAUACCGCAUAACACCUACGGGUCAAAGGAGCAAUUCGCUUAAGGAGGGGGUCGCGGCAGAUUAGUUAGUUGGCGGGGUAAUGGCCCACCAAGACGAUGAUCUGUAUCCGGCCUGAGAGGGUGCACGGACACACUGGAACUGAAACACGGUCCAGACUCCUACGGGAGGCAGCAGUGGGGAAUUUUGCGCAAUGGGGGAAACCCUGACGCAGCAACGCCGCGUGGAGGAUGAAGUCCCUUGGGACGUAAACUCCUUUCGACCGGGACGAUUAUGACGGUACCGGAUGAAGAAGCCCCGGCUAACUUCGUGCCAGCAGCCGCGGUAAUACGAGGGGGGCGAGCGUUGUUCGGAAUUAUUGGGCGUAAAGGGUGCGUAGGCGGUUCCGCAAGUCUUAUGUGAAAUCUUCGGGCUCAACUCGAAGCCUGCAUAGGAAACUACGGGGCUUGAGUGUGGGAGAGGUGAGUGGGAUUCCCGGUGUAGCGGUGAAAUGCGUAGAUAUCGGGAGGAACACCUGUGGCGAAAGCGGCUCACUGGACCAUAACUGACGCUGAUGCACGAAAGCUGGGGGAGCAAACAGGAUUAGAUACCCUAGUAGUCC
rnacentral:rRNA from 1 species